AUUGUAUGCCUGGUACCCACAGAGAUCAGAAGAGGGCAUCUGAUUCUCUUGAACUGGGGUUACAGAUGCUUGUGAACACCAGGAACGGAACCCCAGGAUCUCUGUAAGAGCAACAAGUGCUUUAUCUGCUGAGCUAUCUUUCCAGCCCCUGCAGUCCUUGAUCUCAAGAAAUUCCUGGCAUGCUAUUCUCACGGUCUGAAUUGGGUUUCAUAGAAACCCACAGUACUUUCAAGAAUGCGCGGGCCUUUUCAAAGAGGCCCUGCUGAAUUCAACUGACCUUUAGCUUUUGCAGUUGUUUUGACUGGAUCCAGGGCCCAGGGAGAAGGAUUGAAGCAAACAGGGUAAACACCCCUCCUUGGCUUGUUUCUCUACAAGCAUGCUUCUCUAUAGAAUUUCUUUUCCAUCAAAUACCAACAGUGAACGGCUCUGAAGGUGCUUGGUGCCUGUAAGACAGCCAGAGGUGAGGCUGCGAAAGACCCCAUCAGGAAACUCUGCAUCUUUGAAAUUAUGGUUCUUAGCAGAAGCCCCUGUGAAGGGAGCCCUGUCUGCCCUGGUAAGAGCACAAACCAGCUUGCUGUGGUCCUUGGUCCCUGACUCGGGUUUUCCCUCCUUUUGAAUCCUGGGUUCUGGUUUUUGUUUCCCACCUCCCAUCUGCAUUGCUUGCCAUACCGGGCAGUCAGUACUGAGAACCCACAUGACCGAGGUUGACCAUGGCCUCAUCUCCCAGGCCUUACAAGGAGGGACAUGAUCACAUCUUCCAUCCAUUAGAUAGUGACCGACAAAACACCAGGAACACCCGAAGAGAGAGAAGAGAAACUGGCAUGCUGAUGGACUCCUGAUGGGAGUAUAAAAUGCCCCCACUGCCGCGGAGAUGAAUUGAGAUGCCAUCUUACUGACUGCUUAAACCUCAUGGUGCACAAAUCAGGAAUUCAGAAGAUUUGUCCUCAGCUGUUCCAGGUUCCCACUGACAUUCAAGAAGGUAACGCCAGGCUCUACCAUCUAGACACAGAAGCAAGAUGUUUGGCCGCCCAAGCAAAUUGGAGAGGAGCUGUGCAGCAGGAAGUGAGAGCGUUUGGUAGAGGCAGUGGCCACACAACACUGAUGUGAACACUGGUCUGUGAGUAAGGGAGGUGCUUCAGAAACUUUCAGCGUGAAAGCAAUGCUCCAAAGGCCACUGGUGGAAAAUGUCUCUUACCCAACUGCGCCCAAGGGAUUCCGCUUGGAGUCAUCCGUGAGUGGGACAGCAGAGUCACGUCUGGCUACUGGGGAAGCGGCAGGGUUGUGCAGCCUGUCAGUAGCAUUCUCACGCUUGGGCAGCUGGAAAUCACACUGGGCCUCAGGGUCAGACCAGCAGGGCCAUCAGCCCUCCAGGAGCAGAUGCUGCCUGGGGAGAGGGGCCAGCUGCUGACUGGAGACAGUGCCUGUGAGGGAGCAGCAGCAGGCAGAGUGUAGUCCCAGGAAUCAUCAGCUUGGUGGGAAGCACCAGAGUGACAUGCCCAUCAGUGUCCCCCAGCUGGCCACCAUGAUCACCAGGUGCCAGUUCCCCAGGAGGGCUGUGGACCUCAAGCCAGGUGGCUUCCGAGAUGUGGCAGGCAGAUUCUAAGCAAGUUGGCUGGGACUGAGGCUAUCAAUCCAUCCUUGGAGGAGGAUCUGGAUGGCUCACUUCCUGCCUACUAUAGUCAUCAUGGGAGGAUGCAGACUAAAGGGAGAUGAAGUCCCCAGAGAAGCCAUGACUAAGCUGCAGGGGCAGUGGGACAGGGGACUUCUCUUUGUCUGUUAGCAACCAGACCAAGAUCACACUUGGGUUCUUGUGCCAUCAUUUUUUUAAAAAUUGUAUUUAUUAUUCUUUGACAAUCUGAUGCAUGUUUAUAACAUAUCCUGUUCAUUUUUACCUCCUCCUACCAUCCCCUCCUAUUUUCAUGUCUUUGUGGUUUUUUGUUUGUUUGUUUGUUUUGUUUUCUUGAGACCCACUGAGUUUAAUUGGAGUUGUGGGCUUGAGGAUAGGUGAGUGGCAUUUACUGGAGCAGAGCAAUUUACCAGUGGUUCCACCCCGGAAGAAAGUGGCUUCCAUUCCCCAGCAUCCAUUAACUGCCAAGAGCUCCUCAGAGAAGGGUGGAGCCUCCUGGCCCCUCCCUUGUUCAUGAUGGAAUGUUGUUAAGACUCAAUGGAUCAGUAGCAGUUACCACCUCCUGAAACUUUUUUUUUAUUUAUCCUAUUUUAUGUGCAUGGGUGUUUUGCCUUCGUGUAUGUCUAUGCACCAGACGUGUACAAUGUGCAUGGAGUUUAGAAGAGGGUGCUGUAUUCCCUAGGACUGGCGUUUGGGUGGAUGCAACCUGCUACGUGGGUGCUGGAAGUUGAAACUGGGUCCUCUGAAACUGGACGAGAGCAUCCAGGGCUUUCAACAGCUGAGCCAUCUCUUCAGCCCCUUAUCCAUGAAUUUUAUUUUUAAUCUACCUUGUCCUUCUUAAAUAUAUAGGUUUAUGUUGAUGUGGGUAUACGCGCGCGCGCGUGUGUGUGUGUGUGUGUGUGUGUGUGUGUAUGUGUAUACUGAGGCCAGUAAACCAUUUUUGUGUGUCCUUCCUCAGGUACCUUCCAUCUUUUCUUUUAACCCUGAAACUCAUCAAAUAGGGUAGGCUGGCUGGGGAUCUGUUGCGUUCUGCUUCAUUGGUGCAGGAUUACAAACACUUAAAAAAAAUCAACAGGUUUUAGAUCAAACUCAGUUCCUCAACAUUGCAAGGCAAGCUCUCUACUGAGCGAGCAAUUCCCACAGCUCUACCCUGGCCCUCUCGAGUCCACCAGAUACUCUUGGUAACCCUGUCUAGACAGCAAAGGGGCUUGAAUAUUCACAAAGGACUGGCAGGAGACAGGCACCUGCUGAAAACCACAGCUCCUCCUCCAGGAGCUGCUGUCCAAAGGACACUGCGUCAUACAGACAAGGGGAAGGAAUUCUAGCAUUGAGCUCCAAGGAUGAAAGUGUAGCCAGAAGAAAGAUAAGUCAACACAAUCUCUCAAAGUGAACUGCUUGGCUCCUUCACAAAAGAUGAUGAGUCCGGCCAGUGUAACCUAAAGUAGUCACAUUAGUAAAAUCCAUAAAGUAUCAAACCAGGUAGGUAUAUGGUUACAACAAGAAAACAGAACGAGAAAUGUAUUAAUGAGGGACUUAGUGUGGUGCUAAUGCUAUUGACAGCUCCAUCACGGCAACAGCAUGAGUCUGGCACAGACGCCACACAAUCAUUGUUCUUAAAGUUGGCAUGCCACCCAGGGCUGUCAGAUAGAUCACUUAAUUCUGCUACAACUUUUCCCUGGUCAACCCAGUGUGAAACAUUUAAUUAUGCCGUGCACUGCUGCCUGGCAACCCAUUAGGUCAAAGUCAUGGCUUGCAUACAAAGUCUGUUCUCUUCUCUGCCAUAGAUACCGCAGGAGUCAAUUCCCUUCUUGCUGGUUGUUCUAGGCUCAUAUCUGUGGCUGUGACAAAUACUCUGACCAAAAUCAACAGUGGGGGAGAGAGUUGAUUACUUGUAAUCCUAGGCCACAGUCUGUUAUUGAGGGGAAGUCAAGGCAGGAGCUUGAAGGUAUGCCUGCUUGCCCGAUGUCACCCACAGCAUCGCCUCUGGCCAAGGAUUCACUCUCCACAGCCAGUGAAAUGUGUCAGGGACCACUGAGGAUGCUACUUGCUGGCUGGCUCACAGGCUGGGUGAUACUCAGCUAGCUUUCUUAAACAGCUACCUGCUUAGAGAAUGGUGCUGCCCAUAGUAGGGCUGCAGCUUCCUAUACCAGUCAACAAUCAAGACAACCCCACUCCAGACAAGGCCUUGGACAAUCUGAGCUAGGCAAUUGCUCAAUUGAGAUUCUCUUCUCAGAUAAUUCUAGGUUGUAUCAAAUUGACAGAUAAAGCUAACCACGAUGCUAAUACACCCUUUUGUUUGUUUGUUUGUUUCUUUUGAAUGACUGUCCUCCACCUCCUGAACAGUGGCCAACAACCAAGUGUGGGCUCUCCCCCUCUCAAGUAGCCAUUACUGGUCUGGGCCCCUUGUAACACUCAUUUCCUCUGACCACGUGGAUAGGAUCCCACCCCCUGUGCUGUAGUUGGGAUCUCAGUAUCUCUCCAAUGCAUCUGGUCAAAGACUUGGUCCUCAGGUGCUACUGGGAGGACCUCAGGUCCGUGGUGUGGGGGCCUCAGAACCUGUAGAACUAGGAAGCAGAACAGACUUUCCUCAGUUAGAUUUGGUGACUCACACCUGUGACCCCCAACUCUCAGGGUAGAGACAGAAAGAUCGGGAGUUCAAGGUCACC